ACAGUCACCCCACUACCACGAUUGCCACCACAACCAAGGAACACUCGGCGUGUGCCCGCCCUACUCACAGGACGCAGAGUGCGAAGGCCCCCGCCACGCUCUCGCUAUCUCGCACCAGGAAGCUGCCAUCGCGGCCCGCCCGAGCCAGGAGCUCCUCCGCAGCAGCGCGGCUCAGGUCACGGUGAUACCAGGCUGGGGCCGGGCUGCCUAGCGCACCCCCGGGACUCGGUGUCCCACACACUGAGGCCAUGGCCCACGCAGGGCUCAGCGCCGCCGAUGCCUGCCGCUCCGCGCCAUCCGCCCGGGGAAGCUUGAAGUCGAGGUUGGGCCCGGGUCCCGGGACUAAGGAUCCACCAGCCCGAGAGAACCCAGUAUGUGGGUUCCACGCUUGGCCGCGCCAACCGCCUGGAUCUCCGCGCAGCCGCCGCCGCCCGCAGCGCCGGCCUCAACUUGAAGAGAAAGAAAAGUUUGUUCAGAGGCGGCGGGGGAGGGGCGGGAACGGAGCUAGGAGCUGGCCGGUCCCCUCCCCCUCCACUCGGCCCAGAGCCCGGGCCGCCCCUGCCCCCAGCCUCUCUCGGCAAGGACGAUGCUCCGACAGCCCUACAGGACCCGCAAGACCAGCACCUCCCAAGUCCCACAAUUAUUUUGUCCCCCCACCUCAAGAAGAUCCAGUUCCCCGGUACCCGCUCCGGGACAACUUGUGAGUCCAAGUUCUCGCUGGUGAAUUCAAUCCUUCCAACGAUUCGCAAUGAGAUGACCCCUAAUCCCUAUGCAAAUCUGAUUCUACUACACACAUCUCUUCUACUCGGCACCCCCACAGCCUUGCGGGAUCAAGGUUCGGAAAGCAAGGCUCCAGGAUAGACAUCCACAACUACUACAACAUCCAAGAGAACAAGUUCUCGUAACUCCUAUAAGGAGGCAGAAGCAAAUGGAACUCUACCUAGUUGUAAGCCAGCUUCCUUGGUCUAGACUUCCAGCCCAUCCAAGACUACAUAAGAGAUGUGGCCUCAAAGAAAGAAAGGAGAACGAGUUGGAGAAAAGCUGUCACGACCCUCCAAAAUCAAUAUAUUUACAGCUUCCUGAGAGGACGGCGAUGCUAAAGACUGUGUCAUUGGGGUGAGAUGGCUUAACAGGUAAAGGCGCUUUUGCCAAGUUUGAAGACUUUGAGUUGAACCCCAGGGACCCAUGUGGUGGAAGGAGAGAGCUCCUGCAUGUUGUCCUCUGACUUCCACACCUGUGCCAAGUCAUCCAUGCAGCCCACACACCUAGGCACACACUCAGAAUAAACACAAAUACAAUUUAGCCGAAGGCUAGAGGGUGCUUCUGCCUCUGGGAAGCCACUAAUAGUUUCUUUGGCUUCAUCAGUAGGAUACAGCACUGGGCGAAAUGCAAGCUUUUGUUUCUUCUGUAUCUUCCAGAUUGACUUCCUAAUGGACUAUCCUCGUCCAAGGGACCCCAACCCAGUCAAUCUAUAUCAUAGUAGGCAGUGUGAAUUUUUACCCCUUUCUCCAGAAUCUCUGCUGGACUCCCGUUUCCAGCUUCCCCUUUGUAAGCUGAGAACAGAGCUAAGCAGACACAUGAUGGGAAUAGGGAAUGUGUUUUGUUUUUGUUUUUUUUUUUAAUUAUUUUAUUUAUUUAUUUAAUGUAUAUGAGCACAAUGUAGCUGUCUUCAGACACAUCAGAUCCCAUUACAGAUGGUUGUGAGCCACCAUGUGGUUGCUGAGAAUUGAACUCAGAACCUCUGGAAGAGCAGUCAGUGGCCUUAACCACUGAGCCAUCUCUCCAGCCCCCUGAGAUGUAUUUUUGUUUUUGUUGGACUCAAGCUCUCCAGGCAAGCACUCUUCCAACUGAGUUAUGUUCUCAGCCCAUGAUGGGAUAAUGCUUGAGAAUGAUAUAAUUUAAAAAUCCUGGAUCUUCCUGUUAUUUGAGAAGCAACUAGAUUCCUACAGGCUACUGAAGCACAGACGCUCGGUUCAUCCACCUUCUAGGAGGAGGGAACUUACAAUGAACAUUUGUAUAGUGAUGGUGAGUUUUGAAACACUAUUUACUCUGACUGGAAAGGAUCUGUCCCCACCCACUCACAAGCUCACAGUGACAAUAAUUCAUUAGGCCCAGAUGUGUCAUAGAUUUAUUGAAAAUGAUUGUAGAAACCCCAACCCCCAACAUGGAUCAGGAACUGGAUGACAGAGGAGAGGGGUGGAAGCAGGCUCAAGACUUCCUUAUUCUUUGAAGAGUUGAACCAGACCAAGGGUAGAUAGAGGAGAAAUCUAGAGAGGAAGACUGACCUCUCAGCCAGGGAGCCAUAAUGACAGCACUGGGGCCAGGCUGGGCACAAGAAGUACUGCUGCAUGGGGCACAGUCCCAGAUGUCAUAAAGGAAGCAUAAAACUUCACCACGUCCUCAUUCGGAUUGCCCUGGGUUGAGUCAAACCACAUCUGGAUGCAGCGGCCACUCCCUCUGCUGUAGUUGCUGACCUUGUAGGAGUGACUCCAGAGACCCUCGCAAAGGCUGGCUGGUGUCGGGAAGUAGUACUCAAACGUGUGACAGGGUGCUGUGUUUGGGCACUUGUUAAUGCCUGCAGGCAGAAUCAUAGUGGGCACAGACAUUUAGACCUAGGGUCAAACCUCACCUCUGGUCACCCCAAACAUCUUUAAUCUCCCCCUUUCCAAACCCUACAUUCAUCUCGCUACCCAGAGGUCCUUACCUGAGGACCAGUCCCAGCCUUUAUGCCAGUCUCUCUUGCAGGUAAAGGAGGUACGACAGGCUUCCCACCACUGGUGACAGUCCUCUUUGCAUAAGGGCACAUCCAGGAAACGCUCUUUACGCCAACUCUGGUCCACCUAGGUAAAGGAAAUGUUGGCAGCUAAAGAGACUGAGCCUAAGGUUAGUUAGCCUUUCUGAAGCAUGUGAAGGAAGCACCCAUACUUGCUGGAUCCAAGGCCCAAGGUUGGGGGAGCACUCAUACAGGCAGGAGUCUUGGAUGAAGUGACUCUUACAGGCAGGCUCCAUCUUGCCACAGUGAUCCCAGUUGAAGUACAGACGGGAGUCAGCCUUGUGUAGCUCCUGGCUGGUGUUGACUGAGCAACAGGCAUUUUUCUUCCAUGGACUACACUAGUUGGGAAAGACACAGGGCUGAGUCCCUCUACCCUACUCUGUCCCGCAUGUCACCUUCCAGCCUUGCUUCACCUGGUCCUCACUUCUUCCCUGCCUCACACAGGCUUUUCUGUUGAACACUUACCACAAAGGCCCCUCUAUCCUAGACCCCCAGAAGUUCCAUCUCUAGCGUAUAGGACUACUCUUAUACUCAUCACAGUAUAAGAAAGAAGCUAGAGGAGCCUUGUUUUCGGGAUAAUAGCUCAUUUAUGAAGCAUCUCUCACACUUUAUAAAAACUCUUUUCAGCUGGGCAUGUUGGCAACAUGCCUUGUAAUCCCAGAAUUCAGGAGACCGAGGAUGGAGGAGGAUCAUGAAUCCAAGAGCAGCCCAGAUAGCAUUGAUGAGACUCUAUCUCAAAAACAAAUGAAGCAUACCCAUCAUGGCGGCACAUGCUUACAAAACCAGCACUGGGGGAAAAAUGUAGAGGCAAGAGAAUCAGGAAUUCAAGGUCACCUUAGUCACAUCCUUCAAAAUCAGCUUGGGCUGUGUAAGACCCUGUCUCCAAAAAACAAACAAAC
rnacentral:lncRNA from 1 species